AACGAACGCUGGCGGCGCGCCUAAUACAUGCAAGUCGAGCGAGAAGACGUAGCAAUACGUUUGUAAAGCGGCGAACGGGUGAGGAAUACAUGGGUAACCUACCCUCGAGUGGGGAAUAACUAGCCGAAAGGUUAGCUAAUACCGCGUACGCUCCUUGGACUUCGGUUCAGGGAGGAAAGCGAUACCGUGGGUAUCGCGCUCUUGGAUGGGCUCAUGUCCUAUCAGCUUGUUGGUAAGGUAACGGCUCGCCAAGGCUUCGACGGGUAGCUGGUCUGAGAGGACGAUCAGCCACACUGGCACUGCGACACGGGCCAGACUCCUACGGGAGGCAGCAGUAAGGAAUAUUGCGCAAUGGGCGAAAGCCUGACGCAGCGACGCCGCGGUGGGGGAUGAAGGUCUU
rnacentral:rRNA from 1 species